rnacentral:rRNA from 1 species
UACGGAGGGUGCGAGCGUUGUCCGGAAUCACUGGGCGUAAAGGGCGCGUAGGCGGCCUGAUAAGUAGGGGGUGAAAUCCUGCGGCUUAACCGCAGGGCUGCCUUCUAAACUGUCAGGCUCGAGCACAGUAGAGGCAGGUGGAAUUCCCGGUGUAGCGGUGGAAUGCGUAGAGAUCGGGAAGAACAUCAGUGGCGAAGGCGGUCUGCUGGGCCGUUGCUGACGCUGAGGCGCGACAGCGUGGGGGAGCAAACAGG